UUCUCCUCCCGCAUUUACUAUCCAGACUACCAUCGUCUCUUCCAAAUCCCACCACAACCCUAAUUGAAUGUUGCACUUGAAGGGUCGUGCGUUUCCAUCCCACCCACUCAAUUUUAGGUUUAGCGUUUCCUUUAUUAAUUCAAUCAUCCCCUUGAUUUUGAUGUAUUUUCAUUGAGAAGAUUGAAAGAGCAAUCAAGUGCCAAAGAGUCGUCCAAGAGCACCUUCAUCUGUCGUCCUUCGAUUCUUCAAUCUCUUUUGCAAUUGAUCAUGAUGAUGAACAAAAGAAACUGUUGAUGUUGAAUGAUGAUGAGUCCACACCAAAAGAUAAAGGUUAUGGUUGGGGACCAAAAUGUGGGAAUUAUUAGAUUAAUCAGUUUAGUAUGUCAUAGUAGUUGGUGUUAUGUGCUUGAGAUUUGUUUAUUGUGCAAAAUUUUGCUGGAAAUUUCAGGAUUUUACUGGAAUGUUGUCGAAAUCUAACCAAAAUCCGGCUGAAAUCUGGUUUGAAGGUCGCCAGGGAUGAAAUCUAAAACCAGGAGGCAACCUUAACACACCAUCUUUUAAAUAAUUCAGUUUCUCCAUAUCCCAAUAAGUCGUUCAACAACAGUUUUCUUUGAAACACAAGAGUUGAUUAAUAAAAUGGAAAUUAAAAUAGUUUCAGUAAUAUGGGAAAAUGUUUAAGAAUCCAUAUUGAAAACGAUGAAACUGUGAUUACUAGGGCUAUUCUUAGCAUGCCCAUCAGGGUUGGAGUUGCCUACAUUGGUUCGGGCAAGACAUAUAUCAUGGGUACUGGAUUCAAAGAUGGUUGCCAAACAUGGCUUAUCCUCAAGCCAUGAAUGCAUUGUUCAACAAGAUUGAAUCUUUACAGCAUCAACUAGAGUUCCAAUUGCAUGUUUCUUUCAUUGAGGAUUUUUUGGACACUUCAAAGAAAUAGUAAGUUAAGAGGCUUAUGAGAACAGAGAGAAAAAGUGGUGUAUCAAGUGCAUCCAAAAGCACCUCUCGUAGAGGGAGGCUAGAGUGGCGCUAAGUGAGAGAUUCAGUUGUGUUAUGAAUGAAGCUUCUCAUGUUGAUAAUGAAGCUUCCCAUGUGACUACCCAGGCAAGUUUUUGUAGAGGAAGGAGAAGCAAAAGCUGCUUCAGUUAAAUGUCAUGUUUAUAGAAACACAUUCUGGGUUCAACAUAAAAGCUCUAUUAGAAACAUAGCAUCGGUGUGACGACGUUACGAGGAAUGGAAACUCUCUUUCAUGAACAAAACAUGAAAAAGUGGUUGAUGUGAAUUUGAAGUCUUCCAAGUGUGAGUUCAUCCCAACCCGAAUCUGGUGGCUGUGCUUGGUGAUGGAUGGAUGCACAUCAUGAUACUGGUUCUACAAUUUGCAAGGUCGAAAACAUAAAUAUAUCAAUAGGAGCCCUCAUGUUUAUUGCUUUAGUAUCAUCAUUUACCAUAAAUGUAUGUGAUCAUUUCUCGUUUUUUUUUUUUUUUUGACUUUACGAACAUUCAGUUUGUUUUUGAGUUGUCAUUUUGACGUGUGUAAAACGAUCCACGUCACAAGUAUUCUUUAUUUGGUAUAUCAGUUAAAUAAAAAAUUUGGGAUGAAUUUUACGUCCUAAAC
rnacentral:lncRNA from 1 species